GCCCAUUUGUCCUCAAUAGGUGAAUCUUCAGUGAAUGAUAAUAUAUGGUUACAUAUGAUCUCUAGAUUUUUACCCUGACCAACUAGUAGUGUGGUUAUGUGUGGUAAAAACAUAUGUCUUUGGGAGAAGUUUGUCUCAUCAUUUUUUGCAGUGCUUUUUAAGCUCUUUUUGUUUGAAUGAACAUCUUUUCAGGAUAUGUGGUAAAAGUAAAUACUUUGAUGGAGAAUCAUGAGUUAUGGUUUUGAUGGGGCAGGUAGCUAGGUGUUAUAGAGGAGAGCAACAGUCCUGGAAGUCAGAAGGACCUGAAUUUGAAUCUGGUCUAAGACACUUCCUAGAUGUUUGGCCCUAGGAAGAAAAGGAGGAUCAGUGGAAGCCUGUGCAAGUAUACUACUCUGAGCCCAGUAAUAUACAACAAAGACCCACAAAAGACUAUCCCUUCUUUUUUUGACAGCUGUGUGCUCUGAGCGAGGCAAUUAUUUUAAGGGACCCAGAAGGCAAUCUGAACCUUAAUGGUAACUGAAUGGAACAACUGCUGAUUCUUUGAUACUGGAGUGGAAUGGAAUUAUGGCUCUGAACAACCGAACAUUUUAUUACAUGGUCACAAGUGUCACUUUCUACAAGGAAUAGAGUGAUCAUUCAGUUCUUUAAAUGGCCUCAUCUACAGAACAUACUGGGCAUACUCCAAAAGAGCAUUAAGAUUGAUAAAGUGAAUUCCCAUAAAGGAUAUACAUGUUCUGCCUUAUUCAUGUUUCCAUUUGUAUGUAUUCCUGGAGCAUGAUUUGAUGAAAAUUUAAGUGUAUGAAAUUUAAUUGUAAUCUGGGAUCAAGAGAACAUUUUUAAAAAUGUCAAAAUGUUUACAACUAUAUCCAAGCACUAAAAUGGUGUCUAUUAACAGAAAUGCCAGAUUUUAUUAUAAUUUUUGCAUUUCAGAACUGAUAAGGUAAGUUGAUUUAGGCCAAAUAUAUGCUUAGUGUUUUUUGACCCCUUUUUCUCCUAAUGUGGAAUAGACUAAAGAAUCUACAAAUUUCCUUUUAUAAAAAAAAUAACAGUUUAGUAAUAUAAAAAAGAGAAAGUCAUUAUUUUUUGGAUAACAAUAACCUGAGCUGAAAUCAUGACUGUUACUUAUUACUAAUAUAACCUUGGGCAACUCCCUUAAAAUCUUUGAG
rnacentral:lncRNA from 1 species